AUGAACGCUGGCGGCGUGCCUAAUCCAUGCAAGUCGAGCGAACAGACGAGGAGCUUGCUCCUUUGACGUUAGCGGCGGACGGGUGAGUAACACGUGGAUAACCUACCUAUAAGACUGGGAUAACUUCGGGAAACCGGAGCUAAUACCGGAUAACAUGUUGAACCGCAUGGUUCAACAGUGAAAGACGGUUUUGCUGUCACCUAUAGAUGGAUCCGCGCCGCAUUAGCUAGUUGGUAAGGUAACGGCUUACCAAGGCAACGAUGCGUAGCCGACCUGAGAGGGUGAUCGGCCACACUGGAACUGAGACACGGUCCAGACUCCUACGGGAGGCAGCAGUAGGGAAUCUUCCGCAAUGGGCGAAAGCCUGACGGAGCAACGCCGCGUGAGUGAAGAAGGUCUUCGGAUCGUAAAACUCUGUUAUUAGGGAAGAACAAAUGUGUAAGUAACUAUGCACGUCUUGACGGUACCUAAUCAGAAAGCCACGGCUAACUACGUG
rnacentral:rRNA from 1 species